GUGGCCUUUGGCAGCACAUAUACUAAAAUUAGAACAAUACAGAAAAGGUUUUCAUGGCCCCUCCACCAAAACAAUAUGCAAAUUUGUAAAGCAUUCCACAUCUUA
ensembl:snRNA U6 U6 spliceosomal RNA